CCCUUAGAUGUCCUGGGCUGCACGCGCGUUACACUGAUGCAUUCAACGAGCUUAUAACCUUGGCCGAGAGGCCUGGGCAAUCUUGUUAACGUGCAUCGUGAUAGGGAUAGAUUAUUGAAAUUAUUAAUCUUGAACGAGGAAUUCCUAGUAAACGCAGAUCAUCAAUCUGCAUUGAUUACGUCCCUGCCCUUUGUACACACCGCCCGUCGCACCUACCGAUUGGAUGGUCCGGUGAAGCCUCGGGAUUGUGGUUCUUGCCGCUUUGUUGUGGCGUGACCGCGAGAACUUGUCUAAACCUUAUCAUCUAGAGGAAGGUGAAGUCGUAACA
rnacentral:rRNA from 1 species